GCUGGGCAUGGUGGCACGUACCUGUAGUCCCAGCUACUCGGGAGGCUGGGGUGGGUGGGAGGAUCAGCCGAGGAGUUCUGGGCUAUGUCAAUCAGGCGUCCACACUAAGUUCGACAUCAAUAUGGUGACCUCCCGGGAGCAGGGAACCACCAGGUUGCCUAAGGAGGGGUGAUCCGGCCCAGGUCGGAAACGCAGCAGGUCAAAACUCCCAUGCUGAUCAGUAGUGGGAUCAUGCCUGUGAAUAGCCACUGCACUCUAGCCCAGCAGCAUAGCAAGACCAUGUCUCU
rnacentral:SRP_RNA from 1 species